rnacentral:rRNA from 3 species
AGACCCGAAACCCGGUGAUCUAGCCAUGGGCAGGUUGAAGGUUGGGUAACACUAACUGGAGGACCGAACCGACUAAUGUUGAAAAAUUAGCGGAUGACCUGUGGCUGGGGGUGAAAGGCCAAUCAAACCGGGAGAUAGCUGGUUCUCCCCGAAAGCUAUUUAGGUAGCGCCUCGUGAAUUCAUCUCCGGGGGUAGAGCACUGUUUCGGCUAGGGGGCCAUCCCGGCUUACCAACCCGAUGCAAACUGCGAAUACCGGAGAAUGUUAUCACGGGAGACACACGGCGGGUGCUAACGUCCGUCGUGAAGAGGGAAACAACCCAGACCGCCAGCUAAGGUCCCAAAGUCAUGGUUAAGUGGGAAACGAUGUGGGAAGGCCCAGACAGCCAGGAUGUUGGCUUAGAAGCAGCCAUCAUUUAAAGAAAGCGUAAUAGCUCACUGGUCGAGUCGGCCUGCGCGGAAGAUGUAACGGGGCUAAACCAUGCACCGAAGCUGCGGCAGCGACACUGUGUGUUGUUGGGUAGGGGAGCGUUCUGUAAGCCUGUGAAGGUGUGUCGUGAGGCAUGCUGGAGGUAUCAGAAGUGCGAAUGCUGACAUAAGUAACGAUAAAGCGGGUGAAAAGCCCGCUCGCCGGAAGACCAAGGGUUCCUGUCCAACGUUAAUCGGGGCAGGGUGAGUCGACCCCUAAGGCGAGGCCGAAAGGCGUAGUCGAUGGGAAACGGGUUAAUAUUCCCGUACUUGGUGUUACUGCGAAGGGG